GAGUUUGAUCUUGGCUCAGAUUGAACGCUGGCGGCAUGCUUUACACAUGCAAGUCGAACGGUAACGCGGGGGCAACCCUGGCGACGAGUGGCGAACGGGUGAGUAAUACAUCGGAACGUGUCCUGGAGUGGGGGAUAGCUCGGCGAAAGCCGGAUUAAUACCGCAUACGCUCUGAGGAGGAAAGCGGGGGACCUUCGGGCCUCGCGCUGCGGGAGCGGCCGAUGUCGGAUUAGCUAGUUGGUGGGGUAAAGGCCUACCAAGGCGACGAUCCGUAGCUGGUCUGAGAGGAUGAUCAGCCACACUGGGACUGAGACACGGCCCAGACUCCUACGGGAGGCAGCAGUGGGGAAUUUUGGACAAUGGGGGCAACCCUGAUCCAGCCAUGCCGCGUGAGUGAAGAAGG
rnacentral:rRNA from 1 species